rnacentral:rRNA from 1 species
GACGAACGCUGGCGGCGUGCCUAAUACAUGCAAGUAGAACACUGAAGCUUGGUGCUUGCACCGAGCGGAUGAGUUGCGAACGGGUGAGUAACGCGUAGGUAACCUGCCUGGUAGCGGGGGAUAACUAUUGGAAACGAUAGCUAAUACCGCAUAACAUUAUAUAUCGCAUGAUAGCUACUUGAAAGGUGCAAAUGCACCACUACCACAUGGACCUGCGUUGUAUUAGCUAGUUGGUGAGGUAACGGCUCACCAAGGCAACGAUACAUAGCCGACCUGAGAGGGUGAUCGGCCACACUGGGACUGAGACACGGCCCAGACUCCUACGGGAGGGAGCAGUAGGGAAUCUUCGGCAAUGGACGGAAGUCUGACCGAGCAACGCCGCGUGAGUGAAGAAGGUUUUCGGAUCGUAAAGCUCUGUUGUAAGAGAGGAACGAGUGUGAGAGUGGAAAGUUCACACUGUGACGGUAUCUUACCAGAAAGGGACGGCUAACUACGUG